GACGAACCGUGCGAACGUUGUUCGGAAUCACUGGGCUUAAAGGGCGCGUAGGCGGGCUGCCAAGUCCGGGGUGAAAUCUUUCGGCUCAACCGGAAAAGUGCCUUGGAUACUGGCGGCCUUGAGGGAGGUAGGGGUAUGUGGAACUUCCGGUGGAGCGGUGAAAUGCGUUGAUAUCGGAAGGAACGCCGGUGGCGAAAGCGACGUACUGGACCUCUUCUGACGCUGGAGGCGCGAAAGCUAGGGGAGCGAACGGG
rnacentral:rRNA from 1 species